rnacentral:tRNA from 1 species
ACUUAGGUAAUUUAAUGUAAAAUUUUGAUUUGUGGUGUCAAGCAUGUGAAUUAAUUUCACCUUAGGUC